UUCUAGCCAAACAUCUCCCAAUCGAACUCUUAGGCAAGGUUGAGGAGCUUCGUCUCAAAUCAUCCAUACCUCUACGUUCUCUAAUGCCUCACCAACAAGACCAAAACUCGGCUCUAAACCUAGAGGACCAGAAGAUCAAGAGGAUGAGACGAGCAUUAGACUCCUCGGAUUUUGAGCUAGUAAAGCUAAUGGUUAUGGGAGAAGGACUCAAUCUAGACGAGUCAUUAGCUUUGUUUUACGCGGUGGAGAAUUGUAGUAGAGAGGUUGUGAAGGCACUUCUUGAGCUUGGAGCAGCUGAUGUGAACCAUCCGGCAGGUCCCACCAGGAAAACCGCACUCCACAUCGCAGCUGAGAUGGUCUCUCCGGAUAUGGUGGCCGUGUUACUUGACCACCAUGCUGAUCCAACCGUUCAGACAGUUGAUGGUAUCACUCCUCUUGACAUCCUUAGAACCCUAACUUCAGAUUUCUUGUUUAAGGGGACAAUUCAUGGAUUGACUCACAUUGAGCCUAAUAAGCUCAGACUUUGUCUCGAGCUGGUCCAGUCUGCUGCAAUGGUGAUUUCUCGAGAAGAAGGGAACAAUAACAAUAACGUUAACAACACCGUGAUCUACCCUAGGAUGAAAGACAAACGCACGAAGGGGAGUAGUUUGGAUUCAAGAUUGGUUUAUCUUAAUCGUGGAGCUACAAAUCCGGAUUUUGGAGAUGAACAUGGCAUUCAAACGGAAGAAACGGGCCUGCAUCAUCAUCAUUAUCAUGACCCGUCAACGAUGUAUCAUCAUCAUCACCACCACCACUUCUAGGUUUUCUUCUAAGACGAUCAUUUUCUAGUUAUGAUAAGACAUAUUCAAGAACUAGUUAAUUUUUGGUUGUGGUCUUUUUCUAUGUGAAUAUAUGGACAUGCGACACAUGCCAACAAAUGUAAACGUUUAUUCCAUGAAAAGUGAAAGGAAAUGAGAAGACAAAGGAGGCCACAAACAAAAGGGCCAUUUACUUAUGUAGAAUAUAAAAACAACAAUAGUUUAUUUGUUUUUGGAAUCAAUGAAGCCUUUUAUAAAAAAAAUGAGACACUAAAAAUAGUUUUGACCAUAUAUAUACACUAGAUUCGGAUUUAUGCGUCGCGGAAGUAACUGUAUAACAAAACAAAACAAAAAUAUAUAACUAUCUCAAUUAUCAAAGAUUCUUUUUAUUUAAGUCAAAUACAUAUGAUUAUAAAAUAUACAGUUCAUUUGAAUUGUCAUGUAUUUCAGUAAAAAAAUUAUUGUGUUAAAAAAAAAAAAAAAACUUCACGACAAUGUUAACGUGUACAAAUACAAUAGGUUAAACCCAAGUAAUUAUUCGACUCUUGAAGAAAUCUCGAAUAUUGGGUAAUUAUGAUUUCAGUGAAACUCAAACUGACAUUCUCAAAAGAUUUUCAUUUGCAAUUCCAAGUUAUACAGAGCGUCUAUCUAAAACUUAAAAAUAUGGUAGAUCAGUUAAGCUCGAGCAUUAACUUAUGUAUAACAUUAUUCUUUAGAAAUCGUAGUUAAAUCAUUAAUUAAUUUUUUCUUUGGUGGCAGAAUAAAAUAACAAUCAAACAAAAAGUUUCAUCACUAAAAUAAAUUUUUUACAAAAUAUAAAGGACUGUACUACAAAAUUUAAAAGUAACCAUAUAAGAUUUACAACAUAUUUCUUUCCAAAAAAGGAAACAUCAACCAUUACUCGUGGUGGCUUAGGUUCGUAUCCACCACCGUCUCUACCUCCGCGUCUCCGUCUUCAGACGCCGAGCUACCUCUAUCAAUAUCCUUCUCCGGAGAAUCAAGCUGAACGCACUCGGGAGCUUCAUCAACGUUUUGCCUAUCCUCCACAUCUUGAUUAUUCCUCCUCAAACUCUCCCCUCUAACAAGAUUCAACACGAAUCCAUUAUGCGUCCUCCCCGUCUGCAGAUAAUCCCCUUCCGCCACCGUGAUGCUCCUCGACGAAGCGUCCCCGUUCAAAUCAACCCCCGGAUCAGCACCGUCGAGAUUCUGAACGUAGUCCAUGAACAUCUGAGCAGACGUGGUCCUCUCCAACGGUCCGCCAGACCUAGUCCAGUCUCCAGCCUCCGGGGAAUCUCCGUCGUGCGAGCUGUUGCAGUUACCGCCUCGGUGGACGACGAGUUGCUGGUAGAGCAACGCGGCUUCGGCGAGGACGUCGUCGUCGACGGAUCCGGCUGAGUUCUCGCGCGCGAUGCAGUUCCAGGAAGGGAUUCUUCUGGAGGCGCUGAAUCUGGUGGGGCCUACGGGUAGAGGAUGUUGGGAGGAGGAUGAGACGGAGACGGAGGCGGAGGCGGCGGCUGCUGCUCUUCGUGCGGUGCGUUUGAUGCGGCGCAUGUGGUUGAGGACGGCGACGCACUCGUCGAGGGCGAGUUCGAUGCCGAAGUUUGCUUUGAUGACGGCGAGCUUCUCCCAGGUGCAUCUCCUUCCUUGGUUUGCUGCCUUUUGAUGAUCUUUAAUCUUGGUAAUGAACUGUUCCGCUUUGGCUCGGUUUGGUUCAGUUCGGUUGAGUUAAAUUUCGAAACCCUAUUGAUGAUGAUACACGUAUAUAAAAAAUAGAUAAGAGCUGGUAUUAUAUAGAUUUCAUGUGUAACUAAGGUUAAAGAUUUCUUGCAUUGCACGUACUGAAACUUUCUUUCAGGACUUCGACGGCGAUGAACUGAUGUGUUGUGUUGCACAAAUAGAAAAAUUACUCAAUUAAUAACUUUUGGUUUUUUUUGUGUGGUUUUCUUUCAUCCAUGAUCCAAACUCAUUAUUUCACAUAAAUAUAUAUUUUGAAAAUAGUAACUUUGACUAUAAUAAAUAAUAGGGAUUUUAUUAGUAACCCACCAAUUGAGAAAAAAUGAUAUCAUUAACUUGUUUUGUUUGGGCUAAGAGGAUUGACACGAUCAUUAUGCGAUUUUGCAUGAAUUUACUAUGACAUAUAUGAUAUAUGUCUAUAACGGCCAUUUAAGUUCAGCAAUUCCACAAAUGCAAUGAAUCAAAAGAUUUUAUCAUUCUAUAGGCCACCAUUAGGUUUUUUUCCUAUCAUGGUCUUACCUCACUUUCCUCAUUUGGAGUUAGAUACAAUGAAAACCCUUGGUGCAAAAAUAGUUCCUUUUGAGUACUCCUAUACAAUGAACGAACAUGCAUAUUGAUGCAAAUGGAAAAUAAAUAAUGGAUAGUGUCUACAAAUUCAACACUUUGUCUUAACUUUCUUUUUCUUUUUAAUCACAGAAACAUUUGACAAGCAUGGUGGAGAAAGCCUCCAUUGAAGACGUGAUGAAAGUACUAAUAGCUUCAAGAAAGCAAGACAUGCAUCAGUUAUGGACCACAUGCUCCUACCUAGUCGCCAAAUCUGGUUUUCCAACAGAAAUUCUAGCCAAACAUCUCCCAAUCGAACUCUUAGGCAAGGUUGAGGAGCUUCGUCUCAAAUCAUCGAUACCUCUACGUUCUCUAAUGCCUCACCAACAAGACCAAAACUCGGCUCUAAACCUAGAGGACCAGAAGAUCAAGAGGAUGAGACGAGCAUUAGACUCCUCGGAUUUUGAGCUAGUAAAGCUAAUGGUUAUGGGAGAAGGACUCAAUCUAGACGAGUCAUUAGCUUUGUUUUACGCGGUGGAGAAU
rnacentral:lncRNA from 1 species